rnacentral:rRNA from 1 species
GACGAACGCUGGCGGCGUGCUUAACACAUGCAAGUCGAACGGAAAGGCUCUGCUUUUGUGGGGUGCUCGGGUGGCGAACGGGUGAGUAACACGUGAGUAACCUGCCCUUGACUUUGGGAUAACUUCAGGAAACUGGGGCUAAUACCGGAUAGGAGCUCCUGCUGCAUGGUGGGGGUUGGAAAGUUUCGGCGGUUGGGGAUGGACUCGCGGCUUAUCAGCUUGUUGGUGGGGUAGUGGCUUACCAAGGCUUUGACGGGUAGCCGGCCUGGGAGGGUGACCGGCCGGAUAGGGACUGAGAGACGACCCAGACUCCUACGGGAGGCAGAAGUAGGAAAGAUUGCACAAGAAGCGGAAGCAAGAUGAAGCAACGCCGAGUGCGGGAUGACGGCAUUCGGGUUGUAAACCGCUUUCGCCUGUGACGAAGCGUAAGUGACGGUAAUGGGUAAAGAAGCACCGGCUAACUAAGGG